rnacentral:rRNA from 1 species
UACGGGGGGAGCAAGCGUUGUUCGGAUUUACUGGGCGUAAAGGGCGCGUAGGCGGUCAGCACAAGUCAGUUGUGAAAUCUCCGGGCUUAACUCGGAAAGGUCAACUGAUACUGUGCGACUAGAGUGCGGAAGGGGCAACUGGAAUUCUCGGUGUAGCGGUGAAAUGCUUAGAUAUGACACAGAACACCUAUUGCGAAGGCAGCUUGCUACACUGUGAUUGACACUGAGGCACGAAAGCGUGGGGAUCAAACAGG